rnacentral:rRNA from 1 species
UACGUAGGGUGCAAGCAUUAAUCGGAAUUAUUGGGCGUAAAGCGCGUGUAGGCGGCUUUGCAAGUCGGGUGUGAAAGCCCUCAGCUCAACUGAGGAAGUGCGCCCGAAACUGCAGAGCUUGAGUGCCGGAGAGGGGUGGCGGAAUUCCCCCAAGUAGAGGUGAAAAUUCGUAGAUAUGGGGAGGAACACCGGGUGGCGAAGCGGCCACCUGGGACG